AGAUCUGGUGGGCUUUUUAUGGAGCCUUCCUAACUCUUCUUUGGUUCUGCUUCUUUGAACUAGCUGGAGAGAUUUCAGAGGCAACUUCAGUCAUGAGGUUUCUUUUCCUAACCUUUGCAUUGCUUCUCCUCUUCUAUGUUUCUUCAGUACAGCCUAAUGCCUGUGUGAAAUAUGGUGGCUUCUGCCAGGUGGGCCUCAAGAAAAAAUGUGUGUACGGAAAUCUCCCAUACAACUGUGGCAUUAAUGCCAAGUGCUGCAAGUGUUUCCCGCACCACCAAUGACAAGUGCCUGUGAAGCCCUGGGAAUUUAUUGCCAUGUUCCCUAACAAGAACUUUGCCUUUCUAAUGUGCAAUAUUCAGCCAAUUAUGACAUUAAUGGAAGAUGUUGCAAACAUUUAUGUAGCGAGCAGUGAAACAACAGUGUAAUUAAACAAUUUAAUGAAUUUGGAUCAAACAUUUGAAUUUUGAAUUGUAUUUUGAAAGCGCCUGCUGUAAGUGCU